rnacentral:rRNA from 1 species
AUUGAACGCUGGCGGCAGGCCUAACACAUGCAAGUCGAACGAGUGGCGGACGGGUGAGUAAUGUCUGGGAAACUGCCUGAUGGAGGGGGAUAACUACUGGAAACGGUAGCUAAUACCGCAUACCAUCAGAUGUGCCCAGAUGGGCUUAGCUUGUGGGUGGGGUACCGGCUGACCAAGGCGACGAUCCCGAGCUGGUCUGAGAGGAUGACCCGGCACACGGACACCGAGACACGUCCCAGACUCCUACGGGACGCAGCAGGGGUGAAGAUCGCGCAAUGGGUGCAAGCCUGAUGCAGCCAGGCCGCGUGUAUGAAGAAGGCCUUCGGUGUGUAAAGUCCUUGCGGCGGGGAGGCGUUACCCGCAGAAGAAGCACCGGCUAACUCCGUGCCAGCAGCCGCGGUAAUAC